rnacentral:rRNA from 1 species
AGAGUUUGAUCCUGGCUCAGGAUGAACGCUAGCGGCAGGCUUAACACAUGCAAGUCGAGGGGCAGCGAGAGUAGCAAUACUUGUCGGCGACCGGCGCACGGGUGAGUAACACGUAUGCAACCUGCCCGUAAUCGGAGGAUAGCCUGGAGAAAUUCGGAUUAAUACUCCAUUAAAUUUAAGAGGGGCAUCCCUUUUAUCUUAAAGCUGAGGCGAUUACGGAUGGGCAUGCGGGACAUUAGUUAGUUGGUGCGGUAACGGCGCACCAAGGCGAUGAUGUCUACGGGGUCUAAAAGGAUGGUCCCGCACACCGGUACUGAGACACGGACCGGACUCCUACGGGAGGCAGCAGUGAGGAAUAUUGGUCAAUGGGCGCAAGCCUGAACCAGCCAUGCCGCGUGAAGGAUGAAGGCCCUACGGGUUGUAAACUUCUUUUAUACGGGAAGAAAAACGCUUACGUGUAAGCGCUUGACGGUACCGUAGGAAUAAGCAUCGGCUAACUCCGUGCCAGCAGCCGCGGUAAUACGGAGGAUGCAAGCGUUAUCCGGAUUUAUUAGGUUUAAAGGGUCCGCAGGCGGAUUUGUAAGUCAGAGGUGAAAUGCCGCAGCUUAACUGCGGAACUGCCUUUGAUACUGUGAAUCUUGAGUGCGGUUGAAGCAGGCGGAAUGUGCAGUGUAGCGGUGAAAUGCUUAGAUAUUGCACAGAACACCGAUUGCGAAGGCAGCUUGCUAAACCGUUACUGACGCUCAUGGACGAAAGCGCGGGGAGCGAACAGGAUUAGAUACCCUGGUAGUCCGCGCCGUAAACGAUGAUUACUCGUUGUGUGCGAUAUACCGUACGUGACUGAGCGAAAGCAUUAAGUAAUCCACCUGGGGAGUACGUCGGCAACGAUGAAACUCAAAGGAAUUGACGGGGGCCCGCACAAGCGGAGGAACAUGUGGUUUAAUUCGAUGAUACGCGAGGAACCUUACCCGGGCUUAAAUGCAGAAUGACCGUUCCCGAAAGGGGAUUUCUCUUCGGAGCAAUUUGCAAGGUGCUGCAUGGCUGUCGUCAGCUCGUGCCGUGAGGUGUCGGGUUAAGUCCCAUAACGAGCGCAACCCCUAUCGUUAGUUGCCAUCGGGUAAUGCCGGGAACUCUAACGAGACUGCCACCGUAAGGUGUGAGGAAGGCGGGGAUGACGUCAAGUCAGCACGGCCCUUUUGUCCGGGGCUACACACGUGUUACAAUGGCAAGUACAAAGAGCAGCAAGGCGGCGACGCCGAGCCAAUCUCGUAAAACUUGUCUUAGUUCGGAUCGAAGUCUGCAACUCGACUUCGUGAAGUUGGAUUCGCUAGUAAUCGUAUAUCAGCAACGAUACGGUGAAUACGUUCCCGGGCCUUGUACACACCGCCCGUCAAGCCAUGGAAGCCGGGGGGACCUGAAGUCUGUAACCGCAAGGAGCGGCCUAGGGUAAAACCGGUAACUGGGGCUAAGUCGAAACAAGGUA